rnacentral:lncRNA from 1 species
GUGACUUAUGAAGGUUUUGAGCAAAAGAACCAAGUUUUGAAGCUUGGAGCUUUGGAAGAGCUUUUCUUCAUAUCUCCACGUUAGGAUCCUUCAUCCUCAAGUUGUGUAAGAGGUAAGUGAAGAUCCUGAGCUUCUUUGAUGAUUUUGAACGGUUUUAGGAAGUUUGUAUGGGUAGUAUGCAUGUGUAGGUUUAGGUGAGGUUUUUGGUGAUUUGUGGUGUUCAAACAUGUUUACGUGUUAUGUGCUAUGUUUGUUUGGGGUUUUAGGGUAGUUUUAGACCCC